CGGUUGUGGUGAAUAUCCACGACUACUGACGGUACCGGAAGAUAAGCACCGGCUAACUACGUGCCAGCAGCCGCGGUAAUACGUAGGGUGCGAGCGUUAAUCGGAAUUACUGGGCGUAAAGCGUGCGCAGGCGGUUUUGUAAGCCAGUCGUGAAAUCCCCGGGCUUAACCUGGGAAUGGCGAUUGGGACUGCAAGGCUUGAGUAUGGCGAGAGGAGACUGGAAUUCCUGGUGUAGCAGUGAAAUGCGUAGAUAUCAGGAGGAAUACCGAUGGCGAAGGCAGGUCUCUGGGCUGAUACUGACGCUCAUGCACGAAAGCGUGGGGAGCAAACAGGAUUAGAUACCCUGGUAGUCCACGCCCUAAACGAUGUCGACUGGUUGUUGGGGGUUUGACACCUUCAGUAACGAAGCUAACGCGUGAAGUCGACCGCCUGGGGAGUACGGCCGCAAGGUUAAAACUCAAAGGAAUUGACGGGGACCCGCACAAGCGGUGGAUUAUGUGGAUUAAUUCGAUGCAAC
rnacentral:rRNA from 1 species